rnacentral:tRNA from 1 species
AAUUAGGAGGUGUAGCUAUACAUAAUAAGCUGCAAACUUAUAGACGUUAAAACCCUAAUUAA